rnacentral:rRNA from 1 species
CUACGGGGUGCUCCAGUCGAGAAUCAUUCGCAAUGCGCGAAAGCGUGACGAUGCGACGCUGCGUGGAGGAUGAAGGCCCUCGGGUCGUAAACUCCUGUCAGGAGGGAAAAGCCGGCACUUGGUCAAUACCCUUGUGCCCCGAUGGUACCUCCAGAGGAAGCCACGGCUAACUCUGUGCCAGCAGCCGCGGUAAUACAGAGGUGGCGAGCGUUGUUCGGAUUUACUGGGCGUAAAGGGUGCGUAGGCGGCGUGCAAAGCUGGAUGUGAAAUCCCGGGGCUCAACCCCGGAACUGCAUCCGGAACUGGCAUGCUAGAGACCAGGAGGGGAGAGCAGAAUUCUAGGUGUAGCGGUGAAAUGCGUUGAUAUCUAGAAGAAUACCGGUGGCGAAGGCGGCUCUCUGGAAUGGUUCUGACGCUGAGGCACGAAAGCGUGGGGAGCAAACAGGAUUAGAUACCCGGGUAGUC